UCAAGAUCGGAAAUAGGGUUUUUCAUCAACGGACCUACAAAAGAUUGAAAGGGAUUGAAAGAAUGAUUUAUACUUUAAAACAGCGAGGAAUAAGAGCAAAAAUCUAUAUAUUUAGUUUAAACCAGAGUGGAAUGAAGAUAUGGUUACCAGUGAGGCAGUGGUAUGACAGCAAAGUCUGAAUGUUUCUGGAAGCCAUGUUGAUUAAGAAAUUUCGGUUUAAGAGAAAG
rnacentral:lncRNA from 1 species